rnacentral:rRNA from 1 species
GACGAACGCUGGCGGCGUGCUUAACACAUGCAAGUCGAACGGAAAGGCCCUGCUUUUGUGGGGUGCUCAAGUGGCGAACGGGUGAGUAACACGUGAGUAACCUGCCCUUGACUUUGGGAUAACUUCAGGAAACUGGGGCUAAUACCGGAUAGGAGCUCCUGCUGCAUGGUGGGGGUUGGAAAGUUUCGGCGGUUGGGGAUGGACUCGCGGCUUAUCAGCUUGUUGGUGGGGUAGUGGCUUAUCAAGGCUUUGACGGGUAGCCGGCCUGAGAGGGUGACCGGCCACAUUGGGACUGAGAUACGGCCCAGACUCCUACGGGAGGCAGCAGUGGGGAAUAUUGCACAAUGGGCGGAAGCCUGAUGCAGCAACGCCGCGUGCGGGAUGACGGCCUUCGGGUUGUAAACCGCUUUCGCCUGUGACGAAGCGUGAGUGACGGUAAUGGGUAAAGAAGCACCGGCUAACUACGUG